UAUCUCUGUGAGGAAGAUGACGGAGUGAUGAUGAUGAUGAUGAUGCCGGUGUUCCCGCCAGUGUGAGCUGCCGGUGCUGAUGCUGAGGAUGGGCGGGAGACAGUGUCGCGCGCCCCCGCCGCCCGCUGAGGAUGAGGAGGUUUGCUUUGACCACUUUCAGAUUCUCAGAGCCAUUGGGAAGGGAAGCUUUGGGAAGGUGUGUAUCGUGCAGAAGAGAGACUCCGGCAAGAUGUACGCCAUGAAAUACACAAACAAGCAGAAGUGCAUCGAGAGAGACGAGAUCAGGAACAUCCUGAGAGAACAACAGCUGAUGAAGACGCUGGAGCACCCAUACCUCAUCAAC